CGCCCUUUACUAGUCGAGGAAGCCAAGUACCUGGAAAGAAAAGAAAAUUGGAAACCCCCAAAAUUGAUGGAUUAGUAAAAGCCCUUUCUACUCGACAGGUUACAAACAUAAAGUCUUCGGAAGGCGGAACAACAUACAGCAUCUGGGACUUUGGAGGACAGGAAAUUUACUAUAUCACCCACCCACUAUUUCUGUCCUGGCGGGCCCUCUACAUUCUUGUGUUCCCUUUACAUCUCGAUUUGCGUGAUAGAGCACCACGGAUGGAGGAUUCUGAAUUGCCAGGGUCCGCUGUGAGAACUCAUCGAACCAUUCUGGACUUGAUAGAUUUUUGGUUGAUGUCUGUGUACACCCAUGCAGUGCAUCCCGAUGAAGGACAGAAAUAUGAACCCCAGGUGCUACUAGUAGGAACGUUUGCCAAAGAGGGAGGUACGCGACUUAGUGAAGAAAAGGUAGGAAGAUUAUGAAUCGCUUGCCCAAAUUGUUAACACGUUAUAAAAAAAACUAAAUGUGUUCUUGUUUUCCAUUAAAACGAAAUGAUAGGAGGGAUUAAGCAAAGUCCAAUAUGGAUGCUUACUUCAGAAAAUGUGCUUCUUAAAAGUAGUCGAAUCUCUCAGAGAAAGCUAUAUAUAGGCCUACUUUGUGGUUAAUUUUACAGUGAACUACCAUUUCAGGUGUUGCUCACAUUUUUAAUGAUUAUUGUACAGUAAUCUGCCGUAAGAUACUGUCACGUGGGAAGUGCCUUUUUUUUUUACUUACUGCUGCUUGACACCAAAUAAAGAAUACGUAAAACUGAUAAAUACAGUUAUUAAAAAGAUUUAAUCAAAUCUUUCUUGUCAUUCUGUGGUUUUCUUUUGAUUCUUUUAUAAUGAUUGUACAUGAAAUAUACAUGGUUAUAACAAAAUAUAACUUAACUUAAACAAUAGUUGAAUAGAGCCCCCGUCAUCUGUUCUGGCUUGACAUGCCCCACUCGGCCCUGGUGGUCGGUCCAGUUCCUGGCCUCCGCAGCUAGCGAUGUCUCUUCCACUCGGCCUCCGCAGACUGUGUUGCCCCUUGAUGAGUAACCCCCAGAUCAGAGAUGUGGCUUCAACGAAUUAGUGGACGAGAUCGAGCCCCCAAUGAUGACAUGAGUUUUGACGAAACAUGUCGGUGGAGAACCGGUGGCAGCUGGGGUCGUUAUCUCGUCACCGACGUAGUCCCUCAGUUAUUACUUAGACUGCCUAUACGAACGUCUGUAGUCUAUUCUAGCUUAGGUGGUUCUCCUCGAAUUACUUAAAUUAACAUCCUAAUAUACCCUACCGUUACUAGGACUAACUGUAAAACUUCUAUAAAGUAAUUCAAAGAAUUUAAAAUAACAGACGUGCAUAAAGCAACACAUUCUUAUUAAUAAAAGACACUUCCUGUGCAUCUGUCAACUACAUUCAUAAAUGCUAGAGCACUGUAUUGGCUAUUUAUGACACCUGUACUGAGAAUGCUUAUAGUAUACCUAAUACGAAAUAUGGCAUCCACCUGGUACAUUGUAUUCUAAAGGGGGGAUCUUAAACGUUUCCAAGGCUUGCCUUUAAAAUAUUCAAAACAAGACAACCCUAACCAGGACAAGUAAAUAUGUUGAACACAUGUUUAAGCUGAAACAUUUUACAAUUAAAUUUCUUUCCUGACAAUAUCCCCCACCUUAAGAUGAAAUUAAGGGAACCUGAAUUAUAUCCAUUAAAGAAAUUUACUAACAAAGCAUUGACCAAACUUCGAUAUUAUCCUUUCCAAAAACAUUGUUUUUUGUAAUCAUCUUAAUUAACUUAAUUAUCCAUAUCAAGUAAUAUCGAAUUCUAUACCUACAUAACAUAUAUGCCAAAUGUAUUAUACAAAAACCAUUUCAUAUCAACCCAUCUGUAAGCUUUUCUUUAGUUUUGUAAAAGAUCAAGUUAAACAAAAUUUCAGUUUCAAAAUAUCAAUUUGAGUUCUGCCAAAUACAUUAAAAUUUACAAUCUCUUCUGUGAAAAACCUUUCUAUGAAAAGCUUGCUUUGAUUUGUAAAAUAUAAAAAUUCAGUAAUCUUUCUUCAUACAAUUUUUUUUAAAACAUGCAGUGUUUCUUACCACUUUCAUAGUUUUAAUAGUAUUCAAAUAAAUGAAAGUACUUCAUAAUGCUUAAAACAUUGCUUUAUGUAUCUAAAAUCAGUAUUCUUCUCAAAACCAGCAUUUUUUUAUUCAAACAUUCAAGUAAAUUAAAAUUACUGCAAUGCCAUUCAGUUUUCAAAGAUUUAUAUAUUUUUUAUGUGUACAUAAACUCCUUCAAAAAUGGUUACAAAGUUUUAACCGUUUCAUGUUAAUUAUAUUUAAAUUUUAAUAAUCGAUUAUAGAAACAACUUAACAUCCUAAACACACAGUUACUGAUUUGUAAUAUUUUCAUCAAACGCCUUGAAUAGUGCUUGUACAAAUACAGCAUCUUCUAACACAUAAAUAUAUAAUCUGUAUAAUGAAAGUGCAUGUUAUAAACUACUAUAAGUCUAAGACCUUUUUUUUUCAAAAACCUUUUACGAACAAGACAAUUCUUUGUUGUUUUUUAUGUCAUUGCAUAGCAAUUUCAUAUAAAUUACAAAAAAUAUAAUUUUACAAUCUUAUUUCCUAAACUAAAAGACCUAGGCCCGUAUUCCAUAAACAAGAUAAGCUUUUUGCUUAAGUCUUAGCAAUUUGUCUUAACAUUUUGCUUGUCUAAGAAAUCUUCCCUAACGAUAUUCUAUAAACUUUAAGGACGUUCCACAGUUAAAGUGAAAUCCAUGUCACUUUCACUAAACUUUGCACAUAGAUACUUUAGAACCUUAGUAUUCGAAAUAUGUAAAAAUUAACAUAGGUCCAUGUGCUUGAUUUUUUGCUAUAGAACUUCAAAGUUCACCCAAAUUGAUGUUCUUAAGAAUUGCGCAUUCAAAAGAAUUUAGCAUUUUUAGACCGCCCAAGAUUAGGCCCUACUACAAUGAUUUUAAACCUCUAUUAC